rnacentral:rRNA from 1 species
UCUACGGGAGGCAGCAGUGAGGAAUAUUGGUCAAUGGUCGGGAGACUGAACCAGCCAAGCCGCGUGAGGGAUGAAGGUACAGAGUAUCGUAAACCUCUUUUGUCAGGGAACAAAGGCGGGGACGUGUCCCCGGAUGAGUGUACCUGAAGAAAAAGCAUCGGCUAACUCCGUGCCAGCAGCCGCGGUAAUACGGAGGAUGCGAGCGUUAUCCGGAUUUCUUGGGUUUAACGGGUGCGCAGGCGGUCUGUUAAGUCAGCGGUCAAAGCCCGGGGCUCAACCCCGGCCCGCCGUUGAAACUGGCAGUAUCGAGUUGGAGAAAAGUAUGCGGAAUGCGCGGUGUAGCGGUGAAAUGCAUAGAUAUCGCGCAGAACUCCGAUUGCGAAGGCAGCAUGCCGGCUCCACACUGACGCUGAGGCACGAAAGCGUGGGUAUCGAACAGGAUUAGAUACCCGUGUAGUC